rnacentral:rRNA from 1 species
GAACCGGCCAAACGUUGUUCGGAAUCACUGGGCUUAAAGGGCGGGUAGGCGGGUGAUCAAGUCUGAGGUGAAAUCCUCCGGCUUAACCGGAGAACUGCCGUGGAUACUGCCCAUCUCGAGGAGGAUAGGGGCAUCUGGAACUAGCGGUGGAGCGGUGAAAUGCGUUGAUAUCGCUAGGAACUCCGGUGGCGAAGGCGAUAUGCUGGAUCCUUUCUGACGCUGAGGCGCGAAAGCCAGGGGAGCGAACGGGAUUAGAUACCCCGGUAGUCCUGGCCCUAACGAUGAUACUGGAUAGCGGGCUUGACAUACGCACGCUGUCGGAGCAAAAGUGUUAAGUUCUCCGCCUGGGGGGUAUGGUCGCAAGGCUG